rnacentral:rRNA from 1 species
CCUACGGGUGGCAGCAGUGGGGAAUAUUGCACAAUGGGGGAAACCCUGAUGCAGCGACGCCGCGGGAGUGAAGAAGUAAUUCGUUAUGUAAAGCUCUAUCAGCAGGGAAGAAAAUGACGGUACCUGAGUAAGAAGCCCCGGCUAACUACGGGCCAGCAGCCGCGGUAAUACGUAGGGGGCAAGCGUUAUCCGGAUUUAAUGGGUGGAAAGGGAGCGUAGACGGCAGUGCAAGUCUGGAGUGAAAGGCGGGGGCUCAACCCCCGGACUGCUCUGGAAACUGUACGGCUGGAGUGCAGGAGAGGUAAGUGGAAUUCCUAGUGUAGCGGUGAAAUGCGUAGAUAUUAGGAGGAACACCAGUGGCGAAGGCGGCUUACUGGACUGUAACUGACGUUGAGGCUCGAAAGCGUGGGGAGCAAACAGGAUUAGAUACCCGUGUAGUC